AUCACACUCUCUCAUUACAAUUCACUCGAUGAACAGAUACAAUAAAGGACGGUCUUCAGACAUGGCUGAAAACAUGGGACAAAGAAAAACAAGGGCGGCCAUCAAAGUUGAAGAGAGAAGCAAGGAGAGCAGGACCGCCACUGAAACAGUAACACCAUUAGAAAAAUCACAGCUGGAUGAGAUGUGCCAUCGCUUUUCAUCCAGAAGCACACAGAGCAAAUCAGCUGGUUUGUUUCAUCUUGUCAAUGGUUUAAAUGUUAUUUUUGUAAUAUAUGUUUUGUAAAAAGGUUCAAGGGUGGUUCCACAAUUGCUCUCUAGAAAUGGUGGGUUGAAUUUCCAAUUCAUAAAACUUUAGAUCCCAAGAUGGGUAUAAUAUUAAAGACACAAAAAUGUGAUGUAAGACUAGAAUUCGAGAAAUAUAGGAAAGUAAUAUCCACAAAUUAAUUUAUAAAUACACUGUAAAAAAUUCAGUUGUUUUUAUAGAAUAAAAAUGGCAGCUGUGGAUGCCAGAAUCAUAAAAACAGAUUAAUCCAUAAUUGAUACAUUUGAGUUGCCCAAAAUGACAGCAUUACCAAUGGGUUAAUGGAAUAAACCAGGCAUUUUCUAGAGAGUUUUGGUUCUUUUUUUAAAGAAUUAUGUUUGAAUGGAGAUUAUGUAUUUCUGACUGGUAAAUGUGAAACUGGAUAUUUAUGUAGUCAUGUGAAUAAGUGUUUUUAGAAAAGCAUACUAAGAUUUUGACGACCAGAUGUACAUAAUGAAAAAGUACCUACAGAGAGCCAUCAUUCUUACAAAAAUUAUUACAAUAUAUGAUUGAAUUGUAAAUAACUAAGUAUUAUUUAAAAUUGGAAUAAAGAUCUAGUAAAGAAAAAAAUGUAAUAAAACACAAACUGAAAUGGCUUGAUAAGUAUUCAACCCACACCUCCAGCUGAACCUGACAAAAUCCCUGGAACAAAGUCAAGGCUCCUGUGUUCAACUGAAAACUCCCUCCAAACUUGACAACUGAGGCUGCAGUGACUGGAGAACUUUCUUGGAGGUCACUGACAGCUUUAUGUCCAUGGAUGUCUGUCUACAGAAAUGUACGAAGAAAAAAAGAAAAAAAAAAAAAGCAUUCUAAGCAAUCUUUCCGCUCUCUUGUCUUGGAGGAACUUUCUCAGGAUACCUUCUUAGGAUCUUGUGAUGAGCACUGGCCUUUUUUCAUGACAUUACGGCAAAGCCAAUGAGCACUGACUUAACCUGCAAGCAUCAGGACCAAUGAUGAUGAUGCACGCAGAUCCUCAACAGUUUGCUGAGGAAGAAUUGCUAAGUUAAUUGAGUAAUAUGCUGAUGGUCUUCACCAACUUUCAUCAAAGGGUUUGAGAAUACUUAUCAAACCAUAUUAGAUGUACAGUGCUUGAAGUGGGAUGGUACUCAACGGUAUGCAGUACCAGCAAUUCUAUGCUAUGCUGUUCACAGUACCGGACAUUUUUCUAUUGUACCAGCAGCUCAGAACUCUCUUCUGUCCUGUUUGAGAACUGCAGGUUCACUGUCUGGCGCGUGGAUGUGGACAUGCUGAGUCUCUCUCGCACAAGCGCGGACACAUUGGGUCUCUUUUCACUUCAAGCACUGGAUGUAUCGAUAUGAAAAGAGUGAAAGUUUUCUGAAGGUACUCUGUUCAAGCUGUAUACUUCUGUCUUUGUGGCCAAUAAUUCAAAUGGAACCACCUUUUAAACAACAAAUCAAUAAAAAGCUACAACAAACUGACCAGAGUACAUUAUUUAAAAAAAAAAAAAAAAAAGCUUUUUCACAAUGCAUUUUCUCUGUGGACUGGAAUUGGACUUGAAUUGGACUUCAGUGGAAGCAGCAGUUACGCAGUGCAACCGGAAAAAGCGGUCCAAAGACAUGUCUACACGCAGGAAAAAGAUUGCGAUAAAGUAAGUGUACAACACUAAAAGGACAGUACUCCUGUAUGUUAACAUGUCAGUAGCCCAUGCUGCAAUGGAUUUGCAAUGGGUGGAUGAAGAUGGACUCAUGGUUAGAUCUCUGAAAUAAGGCCAUUAUUCAUUAUUUCAUGUGGAGUGGGAACCUUUGCAGAAAUCAUGAAUAUUGGAGAACUUCUAGCAACUUGCAAGCUAUAUUGCGCCAGUAAAUACCCCUGAGUAUGCUUUAUAUUGGGACGCAUCCUCCUCAUCCCAAAUUGUCAGAUGGUUUCUGAUGCAGUAGAUGAAGAAUUCCAAGUGAGAAGGACUAGACGAUUGCUUUCUGAUAAAGCCUUAAAUCAAGAAUAAGAUGGGACACCUGCAAGCACUUUGACCUCCACUAUGAUGCUUAAUAUUAUACAAUGUGUUGUGUGAUAUGGAACGUGAGUCGAUAUAUCAGUGUCAUGUCCUCAAGUACAAUAAUGCAAAAGAAGCUGGUAGAAUGGAGGAAGAAAUCACAGAAGAUGCUUUCAAGAUUUUUUGGAGGGAAGUUUUCUUACGUUAACAGAUCAAGAAUUGUUGUCAGUGAAAGGAUCACUAACAGACCUGGUCUGUUAGAACUAACCCAAAGAAACCUUCAUUUUGAUGCAAAUGCCUAAAAAUGGUCACAGCACAUAGCAUUUUCUUCAGGAUUUGUCUCAAAGGGAUGUUUUUUAACCAGCUUGGCAACGGUGCUCAGAUGAUUACAUGUAUCCAAAAGCUUCCAUCCAAAAAUAUUUGGGAUACUUCUCCUGUUUUGAAGAAAAUGAACUGUG
ensembl:lncRNA